CUCACUUUUGCUUUAUUUUCCUCAACUAACUUUUUUCUAUCAUAUUUUCCUUAUAUUUCCAUCUAACUCAAUUUCACUUUAUUUUCCCCUAUAGUUUUCACAUCUCAUCUUAUAUUUUCAUCUAACUCAAUUUUACUUUAGUCUCCCCAAUAGCAUUUACGUGACUUCUAUUUUAUUUUCCUUAUAUUUUCAUUUUCAUUUAACUAUUUUCCUCCACAAUAUUUACAUCUAGUUCAUUUUCUUACUCUAUUUUCUUUAUAUUAUCUAACUCCUUUAUUUCCUCAAUUGUUCACUCGAUCCUCUUCAUUCGUAUAGAGUAUUAGGUUUCUCUCCAUAUAGUCCGUUUUCUAUGCUCUCUUUUAUGAGGGGUAACUGAAGGAGGCUUAGAGAGCGAAACUAAAAAAGGAGUGGGGAAGGUAGGGUUGUAUGGAGAGGUCAUGGUAGAGGAGGAGGAGGAAGAGGGGAAAGUAGAGGAAGAAGACGGGUAGAAGGAGGAGGAGGUAAAGGAAGAAGACGGGGAGGAGGAGGAAAUAGAUGAUGGUGAAGUAUAACGGAGAGAGAGAGAGAUUACUCGAAAACUAUUAUAUUCUGUUCAAGAUGUAGAAGAGGAGGUGGUGGAUGGUGUUGAGAGAGAGAGAGAGAGAGAUCAAAACACGUCUGGCUCCUGUAUAUACGCCUAAUAAUAGCAAAAGGAGGAGGAGGCAGAAGAGGAAGAGGAGGAACCUUACGCAAGCUCUAUAGAAGAGAUCUUGGCCUUACGAGGGACUAGAUUCAGACACUUCAGACUCUUGUUUACCCCAUAAAACACCCACGAAGAAGAUAGUAGAAGCAUUAGCGGUAGUAGCAGUGGUAGCCGUAAUAACAGGGGUCAGCGUGGGUGCAGGGCUGUUAGGGGGAGAGGAGGAAGCAGAAACGAAAGAGGAGAAAUACGAUACUAGAUUGAAACAUGUCAGUCUCUUGUUUAGAAGGAAGGAUGGAGAUAUUGAAAGAAGAUAGAUAUAGAUUACGAAUAUAAAAAUUAAUACCGACAGAGAAUGAAAGGAAAUGAAGAUAGAGAGAAGAGAAAAUAGAGUAGUGGUAACCGUAACAACAGGAGUGUGUGUGUGUGUGUGUGUGUUAUUGGGUGUUAGUGGAAAAGGAGGAAGCAGAAGAAGAAGAAGAGGAGGAGGAGGAUGAGGAGGAUGACUCAUACGAGACUAGAUUGAAACAUGUCACUCUCUUGUUCAGAAGUACAGAAGAAGCAUUAGUAGUAGUGGUAACCGUAACAACAGGAGUGUGUGUGUGUGUGUGUGUGUGUUAUUGGGUGUUAGUGGAAAAGGAGGAAGCAGAAGAAGAGUAGGAGGAGGAGGAUGACUCAUACGUGACUAGAUUGAAACAUGUCAGCCUCUUGUUCAGAAGCAUAGUAGAAGGCGGCAGUAGUAGUGGUAACCGUAACAACAGGAGUCAAUGUGUGUGUGUGUGUGUGUGUGUCAUUGGGUUGGGUGUUAGUGGAAGAGAUUCAUACGAGACUAGAUUGAAACAUGUCAGCCUCUUGUUCAGAAGCAUAGUAGAAGGCGGCAGUAGUAGUGGUAACCGUAACAACAGGAGUCCGUGUGUGUGCCUGGCCGUGUUAUUGGGUGUGUUAGGGAUGUGGCCGGUAGAUGGCAGUAUCAGCGGCGGCAUUACCCAUCAGCCCCUGCCACCACACCAUGCGGCCGGUGGCGGUGGUGGCGGCGGCAACAGCAGCAGCCAUCUUGCGUAGGCCAGCCGCGGCACCCUCACCAGGCCUCCACUGUUUGAGUAAGUUCAGCCCUCCACACGGCCCCCACGCACCCCACUCCACACCCCGCGCGUGCACCAACCCUCCAUGCAGCCCCCGGGACACCCCUUACCCCGUGGAAGUCAGGAUUUUGGGUGUGAUGAGGGAAAAUGUGGGAGAGUGUGCUUGUGGUGGCCGUGGUGGGGUGUAUGGUGCGGCCCGGGGUGUGUUGAUGGGGUGAUAGUCCACAUAGCACCCCUCCCACCCCCCACAUGCCCCGCCUGGCAUGUGGGGGGGGUAUGUGGUCGGAGCUCCGGGUCAUGUGUGGAUGGGGUGCGUGGGAGGGGUGUGGGGGCGUAGGGGUGAGAGCCUAUGGGGUGUGUUUUGGGGCAGCCCUUCACCCCCGCCCCGCCGCCCGUACGCCCACGCCACGCCCCCUCUUGUGUGCGUGUGUGUGGUGGUGUGUACGUGUGUGCGUGUAUGUGGCUAGCAGACAACCACACACCCUAACAGAUGUUUACACAACCACCACCCACCUGCACCCAUACGUCUACACAUGCACACACAGUCGCCUCCACAUACACGCACAUACAUGUACACUUAGGCAGAUACAUUCACACAGCUGUCACAUUGCUGCUACACUAUCCCACACACACACACACACACACACACACACACCAAUUGGUUCACAAAGUUGUCCUAUCAUUUUCAUCACCAUCACAUUUCAUCAUCUUACGCACACACUAACAUACUCACACACACACGCUCUGAUACAAACCUUAUGUGUGUGUGUGUGUGUAAUAAUUCGCCUCUUAGUUCGUCAAUGUUACGUAAUUAAUAAGUUUUUCAGAAAGUGCAAAUUUGAAUGUAAAAAUACGGCCAUUCGUUUACAAAUGUACGUAAUUGUCACUGCAUUAGACAAGGUCACACUAGUCAGAUAUAUAGAGAUACCAAUUUAGGUGAAUUCAGAAUUAUGUAACCCGAAACUUAUAUGCGUCGAGUGUCACAUAUUAGAACAACACUGCCUUGGACGUUCACCACAGUCUUCCAGCAUCCAAGGACUCGGUUAAGUCAUUGGAUGCUGAUAAAAACUAAAUGAUACAAAUGAAAAACUAAUCGUACUGCUUUUAGCUUACAUGUAUCAAACUACAUAAAUUAGAAUAGCAGACUCAUUCAUUCGAUAUUCUCACAGCAUCAGAGACCUUACUGAUCGAUAUUACAAGACACUUUUGCUUCUCACAUCAUCUCUUUCUAACGGUCAAAGAGGGGGUCAGUCGGGUUCUCAUGUGUUUCUUCAGGUUCAAGGUACAGAGGAAGUGUCAAACUACCACCAGGGUCAUAAAACUACUACUGGUGAUGCCCACAACUCCUACGAAAGCCUUGUUAAAUAUGUGUUUCUCUAGGUUCAUGGUACAGAGGAAGGGUUACACUACCACCAGGGUCAUAAAACUACUACUGGUAAUGCCCACAACUCCUACGAAAGCCUUGUUAAAUAUGUGUUUCUCUAGGUUCAUGGUACAGAAGAAGGGUUACACUACCACCAGGGUCAUAAAACUACUACUGGUAAUGCCCACAACUCCUGCGAAAGCCUUGUUAAAUAUGUGUUUCUCUAGGUUCAUGGUACAGAAGAAGGGUCAAACUACCACCAGGGUCAUAAAACUACUACUGAUAAUGCCCACAACUCCUGCGAAAGCCUUGUGAAAUAGGUGUUCUUGGGUGACGAAUUGUCGUAUAAUAUGACCCCUUACUGUAUUCAGGUGAGGUCAGGUUAAGUGGUCAGAUUUUGAGAAGCUCGUUUGAAUAUAGAAUAAGUCGGUCAGCUGUCAGGUUACAUGUAUGAAAUGGCUUGAAUCAAAACACCUCACUCUUUUAUUCCCUUUCAUCGCUUCAUUUACCUACAUUUUUCCUUUCCCGGUGUCUCAUGGUAAACAGGCAACGUAUAGUGUUCGCAUUUCUGCCCCUCUACCUGUUUCGUCUCUUGGAAUAAUAAUAGUAAUAACAAACUGUACAUUCACUAUAAUCAGAUUAUCCAAAACGCAUACCCCAAUUAACCUGGUAGCAGCGACAGGCCAAAUUUGUGGCUUUAUCGUGUACCAGCGACGGGCCAAAUUUUUGCCAUGAUAUAACCUCCCCCCAAAAAUAGAUGCUGCAUAAACUGAUCACAAAUGCAUUGAUAUAUAUUAUGAAAUGGUUUGCGUGAGUGAUGAUUUUUUCUCAUCUUUCUCGCUUAGAGGGAGGGGCCUUUAACAGACAUGAUCCCUGCAGUUACCGGGUUAAUCUAUCACAGCAAAAUCCAACUCUUCAUAGGCGAUGCUGCAUUACUUGAUUGUGUUUUAGUCGAGCACCCAGAACAGCAGGAUGUAGUAGGUGUUUGCCGUCAGUUAUACCAGCCAGGAAAGUAAAUAGAACCCUAAUCAUUGUUGCUAUAUUAGGAAAUGUGAGCAUGGUUGAAUUUUCUGUUAGACAUAAGUGGCUAGGUUUGGGGCAUCAGGUUAGGUAAAUGCAUAAACAUUGGUUACUGUAUUGGGAAGGGUCUGUUAGGGUAAAUUUGAAUGAGCUUCUAUUGGUUUUGUUUUCCUCUACUUUUCACGCCUGCUGCUAAAAGUAUGCUAGGCAGUCAUUCAGUUGUGGCAGGUUAGAUUAGCUCAUAUGAUGUUAUGGCAAGGUAGAUUUGGUAGGUAGAAUUACUGUUACGAAGAGUAGAGGUGAAUUGUGCAACGGAUAUCAGUGGGUUCAUUAUGGCAGGUUAGGUUAGCACACAUUAUUCUGCUGGGCUGAAGGGUAUGACAGUGAAGGUUGGCUUGCUAGUUAGAAUUACUGUUAUGGAGAGUAACAUAGGGCAAAUUUGGCUACAGAUGUCUGUGUGUUCAUUAUGGCAGGUUAUGAUGUUGGACUAAAUCUUAUGACUAUUAGAUAAACUUAGAUGCUGCUGCUGCUGGGCUAAAGGAUAUGACAAUGAAAGUAUGUUUGGUAGGUAAAAUUAUUAUAUUACAAAGAGUAAGGGUGAAUUAUGCAACAUGUCAGUGGGGUCGUUAUGAUAGGUUAGGUUAGCUUAGAUGCUGCUGCUGGGCUAAAUGUUAUGACUGAAGGUAGAUUUGGUAGGUAAAAUUACUGUAUUACAAAGAGUAAGGGUGAAUUUUGCAAUAGAUGUCAGUGGGCUCAUUAUGGCAGGUUAGGUUACCUCAGAUUAUGUUGCUGGGCUAAUGGUUAUAAUAUGAUUUUUUAUUUUUUUAUUAUAUAUACAAUUAGUUAUGGCCCAUGAGGUAGUUGGGAUGGAUUUGGCAGCAUGUCAUUUGGUUAGGUAAGGUUAAGUUACAUUAGAUCAUGCUGCUAGAUUGAAGGUAAGAUUUGUAUCAAGAAUGACAGAUUAUGGUCAAGGUUGAAAGUUAAGUUUGUAGUAAGGACAGAUUAUGCUGCAGGGUUGAUGGUUAGGUUUGUAGUUAGAAUGACAUUAUGCUCAAGGUUAUAAGUUAGGUUUGUAGUUAGAAUGACAUUAUGCUCAAGGUUAUAAAUUAGGUUUGUAGUUAGAAUGACAUUAUGCUCAAGGUUAUAAGUUAGGUUUGUAGUUAGAAUGACAUUAUGCUCAAGGUUAUAAGUUAGGUUUGUAGUUAGAAUGACAUUAUGCUCAAGGUUAUAAGAUAGGUUUGUAGUUAGAAUGACAUUAUGCUCAAGGUUAUAAGAUAGGUUUGUAGUUAAAAUGACAUUAUGCUCAAGGUUAUAAGUUAGGUUUGUAGUUAGAAUGACAUUAUGCUCAAGGUUAUAAGUUAGGUUUGUGGUUAGAAUGACAUUAUGCUCAAGGUUAUAAGAUAGGUUUGUAGUUAGAAUGACAUUAUGCUCAAGGUUAUAAGAUAGGUUUGUAGUUAGAAUGACAUUAUGCUCAAGGUUAUAAGUUAGGUUUGUGGUUAGAAUGACAUUAUGCUCAAGGUUAUAAGUUAGAUUUGUAGUUAGUAUGACAUGCUCAAGGUUAUAAGUUAGGUUUGUAGUUAGAAUGACAUUAUGCUCAGGUUAUAAGUUAGGUUUGUAGUUAGAAUGACACUAUGCUCUAGGUUAUAAGUUAGGUUUGUAGUUAGAAUGAUAUUAUGCUCAAGGUUGAUGGUUAGGUUUUCAGUUAGAAUGACAAAUUAUGCUGCCAGGUUAAUGCUUAAGCUUGUAGUUAGAAUGACAGGAUAUGCUGCUGGGUUGAUGCCUAGGCUUGGAGUUAGAGUGACAUUAUGGUGCUGGGUUGAUGCUUAGGUUUUCAGUUAGAAUGACAUUAUGCUGCUGGGUUGAAGGUUAUAGGUUUGUAGUUAGAAUGACAUGAAGAUUAAGUUCCGACAAAUUUGGUAAGAGAUGUUAGUGGUUGGCCUGAAGGUUGUUACCAUGGGAGGUUACAUAAAGUUUCUGUGUUAGAAAGUUAAGGUAUGACUGAUAUGAGUGGUUUUUCAUUUUGUCCACCGUUGGUUUGAACCCACAGAUGUUUUUUAGCUCUUAUCUCUAAAGCCAGACUACUCAGUUAUGAAAGCCAGUCUUUACAUCCUGUCUUCAUUUUGUUUUCCUCUACCAUAAGCAAGUUUUCUGUUACAUGCCCCAGGGCCUUCGUGUUUGAAUGCCAGGAUUUGGUCACCUUUCAUCUUUCUCGCAAUGUUGACAAUGUUUCCUUCCGUUUAUAUUGCAGUGCUCUUAUGCUUGGUAUCAUUUUUGUUGCCACGCUUUGCACUCCCCAACUCUCGUGUGUGUGUGUUAAGUAACCACACCACAACUGCAUAUCCUGCCUAGUCUUGAUCUUAUCGUAAAGUUAUCAACAUUAUUAGCAUCUCAUCCAUGUAUUCGUGUGGUACUUUAACCCUUGUCGACAGCCUAAAACAUUUUUCAAUUUUCGUGUGUUUUCUAGGGAAGGGUUUUGUAGUUUGUCCAUCUUUGUUUUCUGUAGCCUAUCAUGUCAUUGUUCGUCUCAGUUUGUGUAAUUCUGACAGAAGAUAGGUUGGUACGUGGAAAAUGCCCC